GAUCCUGGCUCAGGACGAACGCUGGCGGCGUGCUUAACACAUGCAAGUCGAACGGGGCAUAGAGAUAUGCCUAGUGGCGGACGGGUGAGUAACACGUGAGCAACCUAUCCUAUACAACGGGAUAACACAGAGAAAUUUGUGCUAAUACGGUAUAAGACCACACUCCGGCAUCGGAGAGGGGUAAAAGCUGAGGCGGUAUAGGAGGGGCCCGCGGCCCAUUAGCUAGUUGGAGAGGUAACGGCUCACCAAGG
rnacentral:rRNA from 1 species